rnacentral:rRNA from 1 species
GACGAACGCUGGCGGCGUGCCUAAUACAUGCAAGUAGAACGAGUUGCGAACGGGUGAGUAACGCGUGGUAACCUGCCUCAUAGCGGGGGAUAACUAUUGGAAACGAUAGCUAAUACCGCAUACGGUGAGAUGGACCUGCGUUGUAUUAGGGAGUUGGUUAGGUAAAGGCUCACCAAGGCGACGAUACAUAGCCGACCGGAGAGGGUGACCAGCCACACGGGAACUGAGCCAGGGUCCGGAGUCCUACGGGAGGCAGCAGUGGGUAAUAUUGCACAAUGUGCGCAAGCCUGAUGCAGCCAUGCCGCGUGUAUGAAGAAGGACUUCGGGUUGUAAAGUACUUUCAGCGGGGAGGCGUUACCCGCAGAAGAAGCACCGGCUAACUCCGUGCCAGCAGCCGCGGUAAUUC